UACGUAGGUGGCAAGCGUUGUCCGGAUUUACUGGGCGUAAAGGAUGCGUAGGCGGACAUUUAAGUCAGAUGUGAAAUACCCGAGCUUAACUUGGGUGCUGCAUUUGAAACUGGGUGUCUAGAGUGCAGGAGAGGUAAGUGGAAUUCCUAGUGUAGCGGUUAAAUGCGUAGAGAUUAGGAAGAACACCAGUGGCGAAGGCGACUUACUGGACUGUAACUGACGCUGAGGCAUGAAAGCGUGGGGAGCAAACAGG
rnacentral:rRNA from 1 species